UUAUUUUGGGGUGUUACAGGUACACACGUGAGUGGCGCGACGGCGCGAGGUAAGGCCGUAACUCCGUAGAUAGCGCCCUACCCCAGAGACCAGAGGUAGCAGUACUCCGAGGUGGUCUAGCGUAGGGGUUUAGAGAAACAAAGAACAAACUUGUAUUAAGUGAUGUAAUAAAUAGAUUGUAUUUGGAAGUUGAAUGUAAAAGAAAAUUGUGAUGUAAAAGCAUGUAGUAUGAAUAUUGUAAUAGCAUUAGUUGUUUUAUGU
rnacentral:lncRNA from 1 species